rnacentral:rRNA from 1 species
AUUGAACGCUGGCGGCAGGCAUAACACAUGCAAGUCGAGCGAGCGGCGGACGGGUUAGUGAUGUAUUGGGUCUGCCCGAUAGAGGUGGCUCACUACUGGGAACGGUGGCUAAUACCGCAUACUGUAGGAUAACCCCUAUGGGAUUAGCUAGUAGGUAAGGUAAUGGCUUAUCUGGGCGACGAUCCCUAGCUGGUCUGAGAGGAUGAUAAGCCACACUGGGACGGAGACACGGCCCAGACUCCUACGGAGGCAGCAGUGGGGAAUAUUGCACAAUGGGCGCAAGCCUGAUGCAGCCAUGCCGCGUGUAUGAAGAAGGCCCGAGGGUUGUAAAGUACUUUCAGUCGGGAGGCGUUACCGACAGAAGAAGCACCGGCUAACUCCGUGCCAGCGGCCGCGGUAAUUC